UACGAGGGGUGCAAGCGUUAUUCGGAAUUAUUGGGCGUAAAGGGUGCGUAGGCGGCGUACUAAGUCAACUGUUAAAUUCCUCGGCCUAACCGAGGCUCUGCAGUAGAUACUGAUAUGCUAGAGGGGGGAAGAGAGAAGUGGAAUUCUCGGAGUAGCGGUAAAAUGCGUAGAUCUCGAGAGGAACACCAAUGGCGAAGGCAGCUUCUUGGUCCACACCUGACGCUGAGGCACGAAAGCGUGGGGAGCAAACAGGAUUAGAUACCCUGGUAGUCCACGCCGUAAACGAUGAUCACUAGACGUUAGUUUUGCAUUGCAAAAUUGGUGUCGUAGCUAACGCGUUAAGUGAUCCGCCUGGGGAGUAUGGUCGCAAGACUAAAACUCAAAGGAAUUGACGGGGGUCCGCACAAGCGGUGGAACAUGUGGUUUAAUUCGACACUACGCGAGGAACCUUACCUAGGCUUGACAUGUUUUUGACAGUUGUAGAAAUACAAUCUUCCGGGCUUCGGUUCGGACGAUUACACAGGUGCUGCAUGGCUGCCGUCAGCUCGUGUCGUGAGAUGUUUGGUUAAGUCCUCUAACGAGCGCAACUCCUGUCGUCAGUUGCUACUUCUAACGAAGGCACUCUGACGAGACUGCCUGGGAAACCAGGAGGAAGGUGGGAAUGACGUCAAGUCCUCAUGGUCCUUAUGCCUAGGGCUACACACGUGUUACAAUGGCUAGUACAGAGGGUUGCAAAGUCGUAAGAUGAAGCUAAUCCCAGAAAACUAGUCUAAGUUCGGAUUGAGGUCUGCAACUCGACCUCAUGAAGUUGAAAUCGCUAGUAAUCGCAUAUCAGAACGAUGCGGUGAAUACGUUCUCGGACCU
rnacentral:rRNA from 1 species